ACAUGUCCUUUUUUGACUCCCAGCACCUGGCUCCUCCAGGGGCAUGGUGCGUGCUACUGACUGAGCCACAGAUGACAAAAGAGGAGGUUCCAUGGGAAACGGGAAAAGUCAAGAGGAAGUGAGCUAGAUGGGCCCAUACCUCUUUAACUUUGCAGGAGAAUCGGAGCCUAACCAUUAAACUUCGGAAACGGAAGCCAGAGAAGAAGGUGGAGUGGUCAAGUGACACUGUGGACAAUGAGCAUAUGGGCCGCCGCUCAUCGAAAUGCUGCUGUAUUUAUGAGAAACCUCGGGCCUUUGGUGAGAGCUCCACCGAGAGUGAUGAGGAUGAAGAGGAAGGCUGUGGUCAUACGCACUGUGUACGGGGUCACCGCAAAGGACGGCGUCCUACAACCCCAGGACCCACCCCAACCACUCCUCCACAGCCUCCUGAUCCCUCUCAGCCCCCUCCAGGACCUAUGCAGCACUAAAUCCCUCUCACCAUUCAUGUGUCUGCCUGGCCCCAAAUGUAUCCAUCUGACAUGGGGACUUAACCCAUGGUCUGGUCCCUUCUCCCGCCCCCUUCUUCCCUCUCCUGCCUGAUUGAGAAGAGGAAGAGGAGGGCGGAUACAGACCCUGUAAUUCUGACUUGCUGCUGUUCCAGAACCCAGGCUUUGGGUUCUCCCAGCCCCUUCUUCCCUACAGUUUGCCCCUGUGCCUGGGAUCCAGGCAUCUUGGUCCCAAUUUAUCCCUUUUGUUCUCACUGCCAAACUACCUGUCC
rnacentral:lncRNA from 1 species